GUUAAGUGCAUUCGUUUGUAAAACUAGUACUUUUCCAAAUAAUUAUUGUUAAUAGAAAUGUUCUUCAACAAGAAUAUCGAUCGAUCAGUUUUCAACACAGUGCAAUCUCAAAGCUGAUUAAAAUCAAUACAUUCUUUAAUAAGAAUAUCAACGAAGCGACGAAUAUGAAUGAAUUCGUAAAGUUUCCAGUACAGGAUCUAGAAUCGACGAUUCAAUGCCAGAGACACGAGCUGAUGACAAUCACCUCUGAAUAAAUCGCGCGGUCGAAGGCAGUAGAAGAGAGUUUUCAGAGUCACGCGUCGCGGAAGGCUGGUGAGGAUUCCGGAAUGGUUUACGGGAGGAUCGAUUGGGAGGAGGAACGAUAGAGAGAAGAUAUUGAUUAAUGAAAACAUACACUGGCUGGAAAACUUACAUCGGUUGGAAAAAGUCUCGUUUCAUUGCGAAAUUAAUUAAAUGCCUUUCAGGAGGUUCCAAGCCAUUAUAUGUUUUAUUGUUUUAUAAAGCAGCAAGGCAUCGUUGCUUUUGCUUUAACAUAAUUAAGUUAAAGACAAUUAUUCCGAAUUUUGA